CCUACGGGAGGCAGCAGUGGGGAAUAUUGGACAAUGGGGGAAACCCUGAUCCAGCAAUGCCGCGUGAGUGAUGAAGGCCUUAGGGUCGUAAAGCUCUUUUACCAGGGAUGAUAAUGACAGUACCUGGAGAAUAAGCUCCGGCUAACUCCGUGCCAGCAGCCGCGGUAAUACGGAGGGAGCUAGCGUUGUUCGGAAUUACUGGGCGUAAAGCGUGCGUAGGCGGUUAUUCAAGUCAGAGGUGAAAGCCCGGGGCGUCAACCCCGGAACGGCCUUUGAAACUAGAUAACUAGAAUCUUGGAGAGGUCAGUGGAAUUCCGAGUGUAGAGGUGAAAUUCGUAGAUAUUCGGAAGAACACCAGUGGCGAAGGCGACUGACUGGACAAGUAUUGACGCUGAGGUACGAAAGCGUGGGGAGCAAACAGGAUUAGAUACCCUGGUAGUCCACGCCGUAAACGAUGAUAACUAGCUGUCCGGACACUUGGUNUUUGGGUGGCGGCAGCUACGCAUAGUUAUCGCCGUGGGAGGUACGGUCGCAGAGUAAACUACGAAGAAGUAGACGGCGUGAGAACGUGCGAGGCGACGACGAGGGGAGGAGG
rnacentral:rRNA from 1 species